UUUCCGUAGGUGAACCUGCGGAAGGAUCAUUAAUGAACUGUUAGGGGUUGCGGUCUUGGGUGUCUGGCAUUGGAUGAAUGAGCUUCCUCUAAUAAUCAUCUUCUUACAAAUUCUUGUGCAGAUCUUUGAGGGAGUGUUGUGUUUGUUGCCGCCCUUGGGUGAUUUUCUCACAUUCCCUUAAAUCAUUAUAUGCUAUUAACAAUGUUGAACGUGUUCUGUGCAGCAAGGCUAUUAAUAUAAUACAACUUUUAACACCGGAUCUCUUGGCUCUCGCAACGA
rnacentral:misc_RNA from 1 species